AGUGAACGCUGGCGGCAGGCCUAACACAUGCAAGUCGAACGGCAGCGCAGCAGUAGCAAUACUGUGGGCGGCGAGUGGCGGACGGGUGAGGAAUACAUGGGAAUCUGCCCUGUCGUGGGGGAUAACGUAGGGAAACUUACGCUAAUACCGCAUACGACCGGAAGGUGAAAGCGGCGGACCGCAAGGCGUCGCGCGACUGGAUGAGCCCAUGUCGGAUUAGCUAGUUGGCGGGGUAAAGGCCCACCAAGGCGACGAUCCGUAGCUGGUCUGAGAGGAUGAUCAGCCACACUGGAGCUGAGACACGGUCCAGACUCCUACGGGAGGCAGCAGUGGGGAAUAUUGGACAAUGGGCGCAAGCCUGAUCCAGCCAUGCCGCGUGAGUGAAGAAGGCCUUCGGGUUGUAAAGCUCUUUUGUCCGGAAAGAAAAGCUUCGGGUUAAUACCCCGGGGUCCUGACGGUACCGGAAGAAUAAGCACCGGCUAACUUCGUGCCAGCCGCCGCCGUAAUAC
rnacentral:rRNA from 1 species